rnacentral:rRNA from 2 species
GAACGCUGGCGGCGUGCCUAAUACAUGCAAGUCGAACGAGUUCUCGUUGAUGAUCGGUGCUUGCACCGAGAUUCAACAUGGAACGAGUGGCGGACGGGUGAGUAACACGUGGGUAACCUGCCCUUAAGUGGGGGAUAACAUUUGGAAACAGAUGCUAAUACCGCAUAGAUCCAAGAACCGCAUGGUUCUUGGCUGAAAGAUGGCGUAAGCUAUCGCUUUUGGAUGGACCCGCGGCGUAUUAGCUAGUUGGUGAGGUAAUGGCUCACCAAGGCGAUGAUACGUAGCCGAACUGAGAGGUUGAUCGGCCACAUUGGGACUGAGACACGGCCCAAACUCCUACGGGAGGCAGCAGUAGGGAAUCUUCCACAAUGGACGCAAGUCUGAUGGAGCAACGCCGCGUGAGUGAAGAAGGCUUUCGGGUCGUAAAACUCUGUUGUUGGAGAAGAAUGGUCGGCAGAGUAACUGUUGUCGGCGUGACGGUAUCCAACCAGAAAGCCACGGCUAACUACGUGCCAGCAGCCGCGGUAAUACGUAGGUGGCAAGCGUUAUCCGGAUUUAUUGGGCGUAAAGCGAGCGCAGGCGGUUUUUUAAGUCUGAUGUGAAAGCCCUCGGCUUAACCGAGGAAGCGCAUCGGAAACUGGGAAACUUGAGUGCAGAAGAGGACAGUGGAACUCCAUGUGUAGCGGUGAAAUGCGUAGAUAUAUGGAAGAACACCAGUGGCGAAGGCGGCUGUCUGGUCUGUAACUGACGCUGAGGCUCGAAAGCAUGGGUAGCGAACAGGAUUAGAUACCCUGGUAGUCCAUGCCGUAAACGAUGAAUGCUAGGUGUUGGAGGGUUUCCGCCCUUCAGUGCCGCAGCUAACGCAUUAAGCAUUCCGCCUGGGGAGUACGACCGCAAGGUUGAAACUCAAAGGAAUUGACGGGGGCCCGCACAAGCGGUGGAGCAUGUGGUUUAAUUCGAAGCAACGCGAAGAACCUUACCAGGUCUUGACAUCUUUUGAUCACCUGAGAGAUCAGGUUUCCCCUUCGGGGGCAAAAUGACAGGUGGUGCAUGGUUGUCGUCAGCUCGUGUCGUGAGAUGUUGGGUUAAGUCCCGCAACGAGCGCAACCCUUAUGACUAGUUGCCAGCAUUUAGUUGGGCACUCUAGUAAGACUGCCGGUGACAAACCGGAGGAAGGUGGGGAUGACGUCAAAUCAUCAUGCCCCUUAUGACCUGGGCUACACACGUGCUACAAUGGAUGGUACAACGAGUUGCGAGACCGCGAGGUCAAGCUAAUCUCUUAAAGCCAUUCUCAGUUCGGACUGUAGGCUGCAACUCGCCUACACGAAGUCGGAAUCGCUAGUAAUCGCGGAUCAGCACGCCGCGGUGAAUACGUUCCCGGGCCUUGUACACACCGCCCGUCACACCAUGAGAGUUUGUAACACCCGAAGCCGGUGGCGUAACCCUUUUAGGGAGCGAGCCGUCUAAGGUGGGACAAAUGAUUAGGGUGAAGUC